rnacentral:lncRNA from 10 species
ACUUUGUUCACUGUUAUAUACCCAAUGCCUAGAAGAGGACCUGCACAUAGCAGGUGCUCAGUAAAUGUUUGUUGAAUGAAUGAUUAAGUGCAUGUAAAGCAUUAAGCAUAGCGCCUGGCAGUAAGUGCUCAAUAUUAUGACUUCUUAUAUUAACACGUUUUACAUAUAAAGAAAUGGAGGCAAGAAAGCAUUUCCUUUGGGGUUUAGAGCGCUUAAGUUGUUCCUCUGUUAUCAUGCCUGAAUUCCCCCGCCCCUCAGUUACCUGGGGAAGAGUAAAGGCAAGAAUUCUUACCAGCAUUAGUCAUACAUCCUCCUGAUAGGAAUCUGCGAAAACACACACUUCUGCUUUUAGUUCUAUUCUUAGAAUUCUCUCCUGGGCUGUUGCUCCUUUGUUCCUUCAUUGUAAUAAAAAUGGAUUCUGAAAGCAAA